rnacentral:lncRNA from 1 species
AAGAACUUCAGAUUGAGCCUCUUGAAACAUUUGCUCUUGGAAUUCUCCCUCUCAGGAAACUAACAGCCUGCUAUGAAGCCCAAGCCACAAAGAGAGGCCAAGGGGAAAUAAACAGAGUGUGAUUAUAUGCAAAACCUACAAGAAUGAGGACCUCCAAACUCAGUGUACAGAGUGAUUUUCUGCUGAAACAAUUGGAAAAUAAAAGAGACAUCAGUGUGUGAAUGACGACUUUCUGUUGCUGACUUGGAAGACAGAGGAAUUGGGUCAUGAGCCGAGGAAGGUGGGCAGCUUCUAAAAGGCGGAAAAGGCAGGGGAUGGCUCUGGCAGAGAAUCACUCCUGAGUACAACUUUCUGGCGGAAGCUCUAGAUCCCUUGGUGGUGACUAUCUUGCUGAAUUCCUGAGUAUUGCUGCUCUAAAUCACUGAUAUGUCAGUGACACUCAUUCCUGAGCUUUUGCAAAAUGACCUUCCA